GCCGCUCAGAAACUCAAAGGAAUUGACGGGGCCCGCACAAGCGGAGGAGCAUGUGGUUUAAUUCGAUGAUACGCGAGGAACCUUACCUGGGCUCGAACGUAAGAUGACUGUAGGUGAAAGCUUACAUCUCUUCGGAGCAUUUUACGAGGUGCUGCAUGGUUGUCGUCAGCUCGUGCCGUGAGGUGUCGGGUUAAGUCCCAUAACGAGCGCAACCCCUACCUUUAGUUGCCAUCAGGUUAAGCUGGGGACUCUAAAGGAACUGCCUACGCAAGUAGUGAGGAAGCGGGGAUGACGUCAAAUCAGCACGGCCCUUACGUCCAGGGCUACACACGUGCUACAAUGGCCGAUACAGAGGGCAGCUACCUGGUGACAGGAUGCAAAUCUCCAAAGUCGGUCUCAGUUCGGAUCGGAGUCUGCAACCCGACUCCGUGAAGUUGGAUUCGCUAGUAAUCGCGCAUCAGCCAUGGCGCGGUGAAUACGUUCCCGGGCCUU
rnacentral:rRNA from 1 species